UGCGUAGGUGGCAAGCGUUGUCCGGAAUUACUGGGCGUAAAGCGCGUGUAGGCUGUUUUGUAAGUCGCAUGUGAAAGCCCUCGGCUCAACCGGGGAACUGCGUGCGAUACUGCAUAACUCGAGUCCUGGAGAGGGUGGCGGAAUUCCCGGUGUAGGAGUGAAAUCCGUAGAUAUUCGGAGGAACACCGGUGGCGAAGGCGGCUUUCUGGCAUACAACUGACGCUGAGGCGCGAAAGCGUGGGGAGCGAACGGG
rnacentral:rRNA from 1 species